UAGACUGCCAUGAGUGAUCAGUUAUUAUGAUCCAUAAGCAUAUAAUAGACUCAGGCAUCUCUUGGUGAUGGGAAUGGCAGCUUGCGGUGUAGAGAACAGGAACACAUGGGCUGAUGUGAACACACUUUGUGCAUUAGUUGUCAGGUAUUCAUGUUUGACACUGUUCUCUCUGCAUUUAAGCAACCACAGGGAAGCAAGUUUUUUGGGCUGGGUACUAAUACCCAGGGAUGGUACCAUGUCUGCCACUCAGGAGAAGGUCUGCUAUGUAGAAUAAUGAGGAAAGCAUUCUCUGAAGUAGCUGGCAUAUGGGGUUUGGAAGCUCUCAGUUUGGAGAGGAACUUGAUUCUCAGUGCCUUGGUCACCUGUUAGCUCCUGAACCCUCAAAGCUUGGUUUAAAUUUCCCAGAGAUAUUUGAUAAGCAGUCUGUGUAGUUACUUUUUUUUUUUUUUUUUUUUUUUUUUUCCCAGCUCAUCUGUCGCUAUCCUCUCUCAUCUCACCUUUAAGAGAGAUAUGUGGCUUUUGUUGUUGUUUUAUUUCUGUUGUAGACAGUACUGCCCUUCUUUGUGCUAACUGCUGCAGGCAUGCUGAAAUCUGUACUGGUUGUAUGGCAUUGACUUUCUUCAUAGCAGAUUGCACGAUGCUUUGCUUUUGACCUAUGACCAAAACAGUGUUGAUAACACACUGUUGUUCUAUCUGUUGCUGAGCAGUGCUUGCAUAGCAUUGAGGUCUUCUCUGCUUCUUACACUGUCCCACCAAGAAGGAGGUUCGUGGUGCACAAGAAGCUGCGAGGGGGCACAGCCAGGACAGCUGGCCCAAACUGCCCAAAGGGAUGUCCUGUACCAUAUGAUGUGUUCAGCAGUAAAAGCUGAAGGACAGAAGGAGAGGAGGGGAGUAUCUGAAGUGAUGGUGUUUUCUUCCUAAUUAACUAAGUGUGCCCUGCCUUGAUGUCACUUGCAGCUUUUAAUUUACCUGUUAAACUCUCUUUAUCUUGAUUUACAAGUCUUCAACCUUUCUUCUACAAACGGGUGUGUGAGCUGUUGACCAGGGUCAAACCACAACAAAAUAGUUCACCUUUAUUUUUCACAGAUUAGUGGAAGAUGCAAAGAUUUUUAUGCAUGACUCUGCUUUGUGGCUUACUUCUCCAAAGUAAAAGCAUGCUGUUCUUAAUCCUAGUUAUUAAUGAUUGCCUAUGAAUACACUUAUCACUAGACAAGGCAUAAGGAAAAAACUAGCAACAUUACUCUUCUCAGGUAAAAUAAAAGUUCAGUAACUUAUUUUCCUACCCCCCAAAAAAACAACCAAGAAUUACAAAGGAACAGCCUAUGCAGUUUCUAUGUGUGAUAUUUUCUGAAUAGCAUGAUAUUCAGAAGUUGCUUCCCAGAUUUUUUUUUUGGUGCAGCUGAAGGGGGACAGUUCCCUUCUCUUAGAGAGAACCAUAUUUCCAUGUGUGGUUCUAAGGCUAUGAUUCAUGUACUAUCAAUAAAUAUGACGUACAGUCAGAUGAAUCAGGGGUGGAAGAGCUCAGAAUAUGGGAUACAGAAGGCAAGAUGGUUAGUCUGUGGGAUUGCCCAGCCAUGGGGCUGUCGGAGGUCCAUGUUCUUUGAUGUUUUUAUUUAGGAUGAUGGACUCCAAUAAAUUGUUCAUAUAUUGCUGGCGCCUAUUUCAGUUCUGAAGUCAUGCUGAGAUAAUGCCAUAAAAAUGCUAACUGUCUCCAGAAUAGCUCUUCUAGGUUCCUAUUGCAAUUACUAAAGUAAACAUCCGUUUCAGAGUUGUUGCUUCUAGACAGAGAUUUGUUUGUUUGUUUAUUUAUUUAUUUAUUUAUUUAUUACACAGGACACAGGCUUUGGAAUGGAUAAACAAGAGACUGCCUCAUUCACAGACCUUGUUUCUGAUGUGUUUUGUAAUAACAUUACAGAGUUCUAUGGACUUGCCGCACAAGAAUAAAGGAAGGUUGAGUUCAGCACUGUGAUAUGUUUGGUGGGGGAAGAAGUACUGGUGCAAAGGAAGAUGGCACAACCAUGAAGCAGGCAGCUUUUAUGGAUGCUUCCUUUGUUCAAGGAUUUAUUUAUAUUCUUGACAGUCUUUAUAUGGGAUUUUGCCAGUCAGAUCACAUUUCGUGAAGGAUCUGGGGAGGCAGCCAGACAUCAGAGGCCAAACAAAUCUGCUUGGCCAGGGGGAUUUUAAGGAAAAGGCAGUCAUCUGCUUAAGAAUGAAACAAAGAAAUUUGUGAUGAUGUAAUCAAUAACUGGUUAAGCUAGACUCAAAAUGAAAAGAAUGAGUUUUAAUCACUUCUUUGGAUCACCAGUUUAUUCUAUAUCUGUUCUUCAGAAGUAUCUUUCAGAAUAAGGUUAAUUUUUUUUUCCUACUAUUACAAUGAACUUGAGCAAAAAUUGUGAUCAUUCUCAGUCUUAGAAAGUAAGCCUUCAAUUUCUCCCUGCGUUUCCCAGCAUUCUCACCCUCUUUGCCAUACCACGUCUUCCAGAAAUAAAUGAAAGGUGAUUAAUUGCCACUCAUGACUACAACAUUGGAAGUAGAAUAACAUUACAACCCUUUUUUGAAGGACAGAAGGCACAUGUCUCCCCUCAGAACAUGGCUUCUGGAAGGCAUGUUUUUAAUCUGCUUUCUACAGAUUGAACACUCUUUCCUCUUCACCACUACAUUUAAAAUUUUAAGGGUGAGGGAGGAGAAAUUUUCUCAGUCCUCUACCACUAUAUGGUUUCAAAUGAUGUCUUGUGGCACCCUGGUGAUGAUGAGAGAGUGAAAGGCUCAGAUUCAUUUAGUCUUAAGACUGCUGAGGGUGAUGUUCAGAGAAAGAACCUAACCCUUACCAAAAUUCCUGUCUGUGCUUCAGAACCAAGGUCCUGGUAUGUUUUCUACAAUGCCUUCUAUAUUGAUAGAGAGACAGACAGACUGAGAGAUCUUUCUGAUGCCAUGAAAGCCAUACAUAUGGGAGAAUCUGUGUGUAUAUCUGUGUACAUAUCUAUCUGUCUACUUACCUAUCUCUAGCUAUCUAUAUAUCUAUAGAUAAAAGCAUAAAAAAAAAUAAUAGGUAGAUAAAUAGCUAACCAUACAGGCAAUGACAUAAGUUCACAUGGCCAAAACACAAAGUUGAUCAUCUAGCUCAUUUUUCCUCACAAACUCAGAACUAGAAGAGACAUUUCUACUAACACAGACUUUCGCACAUUCAUGCAAACAGCCAAAAAGAACAUGAAAAAUUUUAACUUUAUUAUUGCCAAAAUGAACCUAUGAUGGCAAGGGUGAUGCUGCCUUGAAAGUCCAGCAUACGCUUUGUCUUUAGGAUGGUCAUUCAACUUACGGGUAAUAACCUAAAAAUCAGGUACUAAUGAUCUCACUCUAUCCAUAUAUUGGCCUUGAAGUGAGACAAUUAACCAUAUGGCCUGACAAAUAUAGAUGGUGACUUAUUUUAUGUUACAUAUGUUACAUGACUUUGCAAUGAAUAAGUGCUUUACAUAGUGUCAGAGCAGAGCAUCAAUAAGCACUGCAAAGCAUUCUGUCUUCUAAAAAAACUAACAUUUUAAGUAGAUAUGCCUUGCUGGCUUUCAAGGUCUCCAGACCAAUAACCCUGAAAGAAAAGGAGAGCUGUAAUUAAGAUUUAGUAAGAAUUUACUGCAGAGGCAUUCAGUGACUUUGCAGGCUUAAGAAAAAGCUGUAUAUUUUGAAGGUCAGGAGCACUACCAAGAACCACUCUCCAGUGACUUUUUAAGCUUUUAUACAGUGCAAUUUGAGAAACAAGAUAAGCUGUCUUGUUCUCUGUUCUUUCUUGUGAGCUGCAGUUCAACAUCUUGGGGCACUGAGCUUCUGAAGGAAAGGAACGCAAACAGAAGGUGAGUCUAGAGAGAAGAGAUUGAUCUCACCCUGAUGAUGACAUAGAUGAUUUAGAGAUCUGAAGUAACCUGAGGGCUAAUGCUACAGAAGUAUGUGGAGAAAACCCACAAGCAAAGCUUAUAUUUCAUGACUUUCCUACCUGCUGAUAACAUAAACUGAAUAUCUCACGCAGACAGGUAGAGGGGCUAUAAAGAAUCUACAGCCUAGAGUUUCUUGCAUCUCCAAAGAAUAGCACAGGACAGUUAAUUUUGG